AUAACGUAUUAAAUUUUUAAAUUCUGCCUAUAGAUUUCCUUACAUUCGGCAAAAUCGAUAUGGUAUCUCAUAAUCGGGAACUUUCCUCUAUAUACAUACCUCGAGGAAACUAUAUAAUAAUAAAAAUCUCUUGUUAAUCUAACGAUUUAUUUAGGACUAUAUAAUAAUCUCUUUGUUUAUAAAAAGAAAUUUUUAUAUCGUUGUUAUAUCCUCAAUGAUGGAGUAUCAAAAUAUCAUUCUGGGUCAAUUUUUCGUGAUGAGCAUAACGUUCCAAAUACUUUGAAAUUAUAACGUUAUAAAUUCCAUUUUUGAACACUUUUUUAUUGAUAUAUUUGUAGUAUUUUUACAUUAAGACUAUAUAAAAGAGAAGAAAAAUCUUAUAGUAAGACAUUCAGGAUUAUCUUUAACACAAGAUUGCACUCAUACGAUAUAAAACAACCUAAUAUAAGAUGGGUGAUGGAAAUACGCUCUUGCCUUAUCUUUGUGAAAAAUAGUACGUUAGCACGAUAUACGAUGAUACUUCAAGAAUUAAUCGAGCGUACAGGACAGAUUAUCCAUCAAUUUUUUUCACACAAGAAGUACUUGUAACACACAUUAAAUUAGAUCUACAUUAUUGUUUGAUAAGUUGAUUAAUAACAAAAAAAAUGUUUCUUAUAGAAUUCAUGAGUAAAAAAGUACACAUUGUGUUUGCUAUACAUUUGUUGUGCGUAAUAUUAAUCGCAUCGACUGUAAAUUAUAAUGAUAUGUGAUUUUACAGUGUUAUGUAACAACAUAUCGUAUAUUAUAUAUGGCGCGUAGACUGAUAUACAUUUUAAUGUUAAAAGAGAAAACUUUUCUGAUUUAACAUAAUAAAUUAAUAGCGCAGACGUGUCUGUUAAUAAUAUCGACAAACGCAGUCGCAGUCAGUAAAAUUUGUUUUUCCUACAUAUUUGUCAUGAACAGUCAGGUCGACGGUAUAUCAUUAAUUAAAAAAAAUAAUUUAAUCCGCAAUCUCAUCUUCGCAUCUUCGAAAAGUUACUGAACAUACUGAACGUAAACACUGCACGGUAAUAAUUAUUCUGGGAAAGUAUUGAAAACGAAUCGAGGGAAUCAUUAUACAUGUAAAUGUAAUUUACGUACUUUCACAUGCUCUACUUGUAAGCAGCGCGUUUAAUAAUAUAAAAUAUUCAAUACACAGAAUGCACGUCAUAACCAUAGCUGUUAAUAUUUUUUAUUGCACACUUGUCACAUCAACCUCGAUUUAACCGAAAUGCUCGGUUUUUAACUGAAGAGCAGUUGCAAAACAAAAUGCACAUCAGCGAACGAUUAACGCGUCGAUUGCAUCCGUUACAUGUGCCUGGCUUACGUACAUUUUGAAAAUCCGUCAUAUUUGUGCACUAAACAUCAAUUUAAAACUAUGGAUCACUUUAUUAUAAACAGUAUAUAAAAUACUAUAAAUAUUAUAAACAGUAUUUAAAAUAAAGCUAUUUGUCAACUAAACCAAAUCCUGAGUGUUUUCAUGCAGCAAAAUGCAAAAAAUACAUCUGUGCAAAAUCCCGCGUUCGUCGAUUGAUUUAAUUUUUUGAUAUCAUGGAAUUUUAUGAAUACCAACCAGAAUAAUUGGAAUUUAUAAUUUCAGUAAAACAACACGUGUUACGCAUACACGUUUAUGGAUUAACAUUUACUUGAAUGCGCGUUGUACGAUUCGGUUAUUCACUCGCGGACUAACAAGACCGCAUUUUGGGAACGUUCGCGAGUGAAAUUCAAUGGCUCCAAAAGCCAAUCGACAUUGUUCGAUGUUAUAUAUUUAUCGGAUGAUAUUGCACGCGGAGAUCCGAAAUUGCAUCGCACGCGAACGACUGCUUUUCGCUUAUUCGGCCGUAUAAUAUAUUCUAAUGGAAACUCAGGCGAGAACGUCCGACAAACAGGCAGUAAAAUUACAUCUCGUCCACCAGAAUACAGGAGCAACCAUAAUGAAAGGGCGUUUAACGUCACAAAUUAGUUCGUGCAGGUGCGAAAGAUACACAAGCGUCCAACCGUGUAAAUUACGUUAUGCUGUGCGUAAAGAACGCACGAGCGCAUAAUAAUUCUUUUGUAUUUUAAUUUAGAUACAUAUGCAUAGCACACAUUCGUGGACACGAAUGGUUGAAAUUUAAUAGGUAUGAUAUCACUCAUGUGUAAUAUUAUCAACUAUAUUCAAAAACAAUAUUAGCGAGUCCAGAUUUCACAAGAAUUGUACAAAAUCUCCUGUGAGAUGAAUAUCAUCUUAAAUUCAAAAAUAAUAAAUUCAUAAAUAUUGGAACUUGCAUAAAUAUAACAAGUUUAUACCAUUAUACAUGAUAUCUUAUAUAGACUUUGUAGAUGCUUGAAAUUUACAAGCUCACAGGUUUAGAGACCAGUAAAUAACAUUUCAUGAAAUUAUGCAAUAUUUUUCAAGUGAAAACUACCAGAUACCAGAAAAAUUAUUCACUCGUUAAUUUUUCUUUUUUUCCAGUCGUGAGGCAAAUAAUUUUGUUUCCACUGAGUGCUCUGCACGGGUCAUGGGGCAAUUAGUCUUUUCAACUUUAAAAAUGCGCCGCUCCAUUCCUCCUUACUGUAUCGACGUACUGUCUAUGACUGGAGAAUUGAAUAUUUUUUUUAGAGAAACACAUUCUUCAGUGUAAUCGAUACGCGUGUAGCGUUCUGAGCUGCUUGUUAACGAUGACAUAUGUACUGUGCGUUGAAAGAGUCAUAACUUCCUAUCUGUCGGUUGCAGCCCGCCAUUUUCACGAACUCAAAAGGUAGACUCCGAUAUAAAAAGCAUUUGCAUCACGUAUACGCUUCCAACUCUUACACCUGGAAAAAUAACGGAGUUGGAUCUACGAGAAAAUAACGGAGCUUAAUAAACACGUCACACGAAACUAACAAUGGUGACGCACAUGACAAGCCUCUUUAUUCAGCAGCAUCGAAUUCUCAUUCGGAGAGAUUCUUCGCGAUUUACGGGUGCUUCUUCCUAGUCGCGCCAUGAAUUUCAUGUCCGACGCUUUAUGCAGAAAAGAGGAGAAUUGUGACGACAUUGAGAUAUUUUAGUGCCUACCUUUACCCAUCGUUACGCGAAGGUCCAUUAAAAUGUCCAAUCUACAUGUUGCUUGCGUACAUAUGCUCGGAGACACUCUGACAUUUCUACCAUGCCGAUUUAUGAGGUGCACUUCCCUAAUGUCAGGAGCAGGCCGUUUACUUAAGUGGUUAUCGAUAACAACUGCGAACGAUCGAGGCGUGAUAAAACUUUUUUCGUUGGGAUCACAUAUAUUUGCGGAAUAUCUUUAUAAUAUAUAAUAUAUUCAAUCCCAGAAGACAAUAAUGGUUAUAUGUACAUAGCGAGGGAGAGGGAGAGAGAGAGAGAGAGAGAGAGAGAUUAUUUAGCAAAAAAUAUAUACAUCAAUAAUUAACUUUAUUUUUCUCUGUUUUAUCAUAAAAUAUCUAUAUAUAUGUACAUAUAACUGAAAAGUUAAUAGGUAGGUAACAGAAUUACUGUAAAGAUGGGAUUAAUUGAUUGUGCUUAAAAUAGAGAUUUUAUUGUAACAAAUUACAUUAAAAUAUAUUUAAGACAGGUUUUGCAUUUAUUGAUUUGUUUUGUAAAAUGUUUGAUAAAAAUUGUUCAGAAAAUUAACAAGAAAUAGUUAUCAAUAACUUGAUCUGACAUUAGUAUACAUAUACAUAUAUAUAGCAUUAACUUCUUGUGUAUUCAAGUUUCAACUUCGGCUUAUUGCUUUAAUCUAACUUAGUUCACGAAGCACGUCUUUCAAAAAAAACUUCUUAACUUCAUUCUCUAUUCAGAUGAUGGGAAAUGCUGACUUUUUCAUUUUUAUGAUUAGACUACCGUACACAAACGUGAAAAUCUAAUUUUCUAUUAGUUCUCUCGUAGAAAAUAUUUUUCUCUGUUUAAGAUUAAAAAAUUCCAAAACACAAAUAAUUAUUAAGACCAAUUUGUGAAAGCAAUUAUGAGUUCAGAUAGUAUUACAUUAUUACAGUAAUUGUUAAUAGUUCUAUCUAUACUUUAUAGAUAGAGAUAAAUUAUUAUCACCGUCAAUGUCUUAUCGUCACAUUAAUUAAGUAUUAAUUUACUUAUAUUUCCUAUCUAUAUCAAGAUUGUUUAAAAAUUCUGUCUUCAAAAACUCUACCUUCGAGAAAUAUGAGAAAAUAUUGAAACGUACAUUUUUAAGUCAGUUUAUAGUUCUUGAACGUUGGUUGUUAAUUCUUACUGUGCUAAUAAUUCAUACGACCUCCGCUAAUCCCAUGAAUGACCUCUUGACAAAGCAGUUUAAUUUAAUCCGGCAUUGUGCGUAAGCAAACUGAUCUCGUGAUCUCGCACGACAAACACUUAAUACCAUUUCAGGGACCUCUGAAAACAAACACUUGUUUGAGAUCACUGACAGUAAGUAGACAAUCGGUGUGCGCUGGACCCGAAGAAUCAGCUCGCGAUUCACAUUAUGUGACUCCGCGCACACUCUGCGGUGACAGUGCACCACGAUAUUACUUCGAUCGAUACGACAAUUACCGACGUAAUUGUGUAUCAAGUACACAGUGAAUACUGACCGGUAUCAAUCGUGAUCGCGCAAUGCGGAGUUAUCUGUCAGCUGGUCGAACUAUCAACGCUCGUUCAAAUAGCCGCUUGUUGGUUUAGAGUGUGACAUAUUCCAAGAAUACAUGGACAUGUCUAGGAAAUGUUGUAUGGGUCUUAUUAAUCAUGCAGCGAGAUGCAACGCUAUCUAUUUUGCAUCACGUUUAACACUAUAAAUUUAUACUUUGAAAUUUUUAUUUAUGCGAAGAAAUUUAUACGAUUUAUACGAAGAAAUAAUUAAAAUUUUCGCGCAGUGGUACAUUUAAUAUUUUCAAAAAUAUUAUCGUAAUCUCGUUCUUAUAUAUGUACGCGACACGAAGAUUUGCAGCUACAGUGCUACCAUUUUGUGAACGAGAAGUUACCUGGUUCCAACUUACCUCAACCAUGAAAUCAGAGUCCUCUAGAGAUAAUGUUAUCGGCGAAUGUCAAGAUCGAUAAGCGCGGAGACACCGAAGACGCUUGUAACUCUUAUUACGUCACCAUACUGCAACAUGCAACAGCGUUAGAAAAUGUUCAAGAUAACGGUAACUUAUACAUUAUACAUUACGAAUAAUUUCAACGCCUUUAGAAGAAGCAUCCAUGAGGGAGGUGAACAUUCGCAAUAUUGUGCACAUUCGUAAGAAUAAACUAUAUACCAUGUACUAAAUAUUUGUUCAGUAGUUUGUUCAGUAUUUUUUUCAAUAUUUUGUUAGAGUGUCGUAUCUAUAUUGUUUAUUACAAAAAUUUAUGUUAAAAAAGAAAUAAACCGAAGUUGAACGAUUACAUAUAGACACGACAAUGUAGCACAUAUAAAUGACGGUGUAGCAGUACGAUGUAACAGUAUAAUUAAUGAUGCUCAAAAAUAUCGAAAAAAAUGCUUUUUGAAAAUUUCAAUGAUAUAUUAUAUGUGAAGUUAGGGGAUAAUUGAUCUUCGCAUCUGCCGCCAGAUGAGGAUGAUCGCUAACGGAUCGCAAACCAUAUGAGUGUUCUAGAAGGUAAAGCAUAAGAUGUCCAUAACGAUGAACAAGGGUUGCGAGAACGCACCACCUGUUGCCAUGGCUACCGUUGGGCGAGCACCGGGAUUUGCGUCAGUUUCAAACUGUGAAGCAAACGAUGCCGCCGUGUAGAUCGAUUACGCCUAUUGAUCAGAAUUCCCUGCAGCUAUGCAGCGUGAAUAUUACGAUAUGCGCUAAUUAUAACUCCAAUUGUGGAUAUUAAAUACACUAAAAGGCAAAAAAAUAAAUAAAACAAUUUAUAAGUAUUCUUUAUUCAUUCUUCUUCUCAGUCAUGCCUUUUUUUAUUUCUGACUUAUGCGUGUUUCAUGCAAUUUUCAGAAUUAGUCAGGUAACUUCGCAACUCAUAAAUUUUAUUGCAUAUUGUGUUAUCUUCACUAAGAUUGUAUUGUAAAGUACUUUGUGAAAUUUAAAACGUUAGAAAAUAGAAAUUCCUCUCGACUUAAAUAAAAGCGUUUGCACGGCCGCUUAAUCUGCAAAAUAUUAUUUCUUCCAAUUGUUUAUAAUUCUCCCGGCAUAUUGGCAUGUUUGUUAAGGAAACGUCAAUUUUCAAUCUGUCCGAGAGUGCUAUCAAAAUUAAAAUCGAUAUUUCCGGGAAAUGCUGUACAUACAUAUUCUAUACAAUAUAUAUUUAGAGCACAGUAAACUUCCUCGACGACCGACAGUGUACACGGAAACGACAAUUCCGCCGAGGUAUCUCAUGCAUAAGUAAUAUCCGCCAGUUUUGUUCUAUCAGUCACAGCAGACGCGACUACAUGACAACUAUGUAGUGCAAAUAUUGCGAUGAAAUAAAGAUUUGCGUGAGUAUUUGAGGACCCGUCAAAUGAAGGACUUUAUUAUAGAGACUAUCUCGUACUGGUAUCGGCACAGUCGGCUCUUUCCCACAAGGUUUCUCAUUUCGUUUGCGUCUGCUCGAUGAUUACCUGCCAAGCGAUAGCCAAAAUUACGAGAAAAAGAAGCCGCCGGCUUAAUCCUUAAUUACGUCGCCUCGCGCUCUUUUUCGACGAAGUCCCUGGGACUUGAAUUUCAUCAGCAUGUGAAUAGGCGCAAUUCGGGACCCUAUUCCGAUGCAGGAUUGCAAUCAGGACGACGAUUGACGACGGGCGCUGCACAUACCCGCAAACUUCGUUCUACAGUUUUUUUUAUAGUUUUUCGAAAAAAACGAAAAAGCGUUGCGUUACAUUUUACAUUUAGGUUGUAAAAAGAGAAACAUCGAUUCUAUAGUGAGUUAUUAAAUUAUACCAGAAAUAUUAAAUAAUGUACAAGCAAAAGACCAUAAAUUGCGUCCUGCGGGGUAAAUGUGUCUUCAUUUUGUGUUUUGCUCUGAUAACGCGCUGUUGCUGAUUAUUUGAUGAUUGAAUAUCAAAUCUGACGAAGGCACAGUAUGACGUACGCAACCGUAAGCAAGUUAAGCGCUUAUAGUAUUUUACUGCGAGUGGAUACGCGGGCCGCUUUAUGAGAACAUAAUAUAUUGCAUCCCGCAAAGCGUGCAGCACAAUGAAGGUGUGAAGGUUACGGCUAUGAAUAGGUUUAGCACUUUGCAUUACUUGCAGAACGACGUGAUGAGAAACACGCGCAGGCAACUGCCCGCGACUUUCUCAUUACUAUGCAUUUUACGUAUGUGUAUAUAUACGCGUACGAAAUAUAUACUUACUAUUUCCGUGACUCGAGGCUGUACAUAUGGGUCAUUGUAGUACACAUUUAACUGAUAGUCCCAUGAUGGAACCAUACUGUUAACGAGUAUGUCAUUUGAUAAGAAUUUUGAUAAAUAUUUCUCUACUUUUUCUUCUUUUGUAUACAAUUAUCUCUUUCUACUUUAAAUAUUAAAAUUAAAGGAAGAAUAUCCUUUCCUCUUUUUGUUUUUUUGCAUGUCUUGCGAUUUCUCGGUCACUACUUUCGAAAUGAAAUGAUGCAGUUAAGAAUACAUAUUGUUUUCUGAAAAGCUCGUGAAGAAUACUUUUUUAUAUUGCGUACUUUUCAAGAGAGAGAGAAAAUUCGAAAAAUACUUUCUUAUGCUAACAUCUGUUCUCCCGUCAGCUUGUUACUGUAUUCUCGUCUACAGCUCAGGAAAUAGGUGAAAAGAAGAUAUCUUGCAAAUUCGAAAUAAGAAUUUAUCCCAACCGACGUAACAAUGUCUCGGCCUGGAUAUCUCUUGAGCGUGAGAAAAAAUGUAUCUUUUUCCGCUUGGGUGUAUUUACAUUUCCUGUGUCGCAGUUCCAUCGCAAGACACGUCUGAGAUGCAUUGUGGAACAUUUACAUCCGUGCCAAGAUUUACGUGAAAAUUUAGGUAAAUGCACAUUCUCCAUUCCGGAUUGUGCCUUUGACUCGGAAUCGGUGGUGGUAACGCGCUUUUAUAUGCGCCUUUAUAGGGACUUCGUGCCCUGCGUUCCGUAUCCGGGUGCAUAUGACGCGGUUGCAAUUGCAUAUCAAUUUGCAGUAGCAAUCCUGCCCAGCUACGCUGGAACGCAAUGUCCCAGGAACUAGGUACCCAGCAUAAUAAUCACGUUUGCAAGGUACGACACAAACACGAUUUUCGUUAUAUUGAGAAUGAAAUACAUUUGCUUACAGAAACUGCAAGAAUUCUACUCUCAUGAAUAUUCUUGUCCCUUCCGCAAACGUUUUAAUGAAAAAUCUAAGUAAUUAUUAUUUUAUUAUAUUAACUAUUAUUAUAUUAUAAAUAUGAACAUUAAAAGAAUUUACUAAGAAUUUACUAAACAGAUUGUUUCCAAAUCAAAAUUUCAUAAUUUUGUAAAACAAUAUGUAGAAAAAUGAAAUACUAAAAAACAAGAUAAAGUGUACAUAAAACAUUGAGUAUAUCACGUUGCACAUUUACAUAAAGCGUUCUGCAAAAAUCAGCUACUUUAUUUUUACAACCUCUUCGUAUAACGGUGCAUGAGAAGAGAAUUGUAAUAUCUUCGCUGAAAAUUUCUUUGGAAAAAGAAGCUUGUAUUGUAUAUAUACCUAUCUAUAUACGACCCACUCGUACAUGAGCAUUAUCGGGAAGUUCCAAUUGAUCCGCUCACAAGUGGCACGUCCGGAUGUUCUACUCGCAGAAUAAAAUGGGGCGGAUAACCAGUAAGAACGGAGAAGAUAUCGAAGUAGAAACGACGGCUAUUCUCUCGCGAUCGAACUUUCUUGGAUAUAAACGUAGCUAUUUUUUGUUGGUCAGCGUUGUUGAGAAACAAUGUUGUAUAAGCGAGAUGCGAGUGAAACGAUCUUAAACUUGAGAAUAUCGAUUCAUAUAGCAUUGGUCAUGUAUAUUACUUUUACAGGUUUUAAUAAUUUAAAACUAUUGAAUAAUUUAAAGCUUUUCAUGACGCUUAAAUUGCUCAUGCAAAUCAUAAUUUAUAGCAUAUCGAUUUGAAAGAAAAAUUAGCUCACGAGUCUGAUACUGUCAUGAUAUUGUCUGUUAUAUGAAUUUAAUGUUUUCAAGAGACAAGAUUGAAAGUUCUUCUAUCCGUUGAAAGCGGAUCAUUGUUUAUUCGACGACGACGUCAGGGUUCAAAGAUGAUAUCAACCUGACAGGAAAGGAUCAAGCAGUGCUGGGAACAAGGUCUUUACUUAAUCUUCCCUGUGAAAGACGGACGGAGUGAAGUAUUUUCUCAUGAAUAAUACGGCUCGCAAGAUAGAGAGAAAGGCUUGUUAUCUAUUCAAUAAAUGCGAUAUGGUGUCUUUAGUACUGCAUUACUAAAAAGCCUUUUAGAAACAGAUUUUACAGAUCAGUUAGAUGUAAAAUUUUUGUGAAUAUUAAAUAUUAGCAAGAUAUGUGUGUGAGCGUUGCGAGAAAAGAUGCAUGGUAUCUCCUUAAUUUUAUCUUUUAUUAUUUCACUGGUUUCUCGUGAAUAUAAAUGUGCGUCUGCGCGAUAAAUGUAAAUGUAGAGCUGUAUUCCUCUCAAAAAGAACUUCAAGUUAUUUGCGAAACUUAGAUUGUCUAUCUCUUCGAACAUAGACUAUAAAACUCGUUCGCUUGCCAUUCUUGUGACGCGGGAAUUUUCAUUUCUUCUUUCGUCCACGACGAACCUUUCCAUGAGGGCACGAUCAAAGCGUACCCAUUUUUCUGUCUGACGGUUAGAUACUGCGCUGAGGGUCGCUUUCAGUGCAAAUUCGAUUCGACGGUACCUCAAAGAAAGGAAAUGACGCGGAAGAAACUAUAACCUAUUAUCUAUCUAUUGCGAAAUAAACAAUAAAUUAUUUUCAUACGAGAAAUAUGAGUAUCUUUCUAAAAUACCAAUUUAUUCAAGUCGAAAGACAGAAUCAUACAAAA